rnacentral:rRNA from 1 species
GACGAACGCUGGCGGCGUGCUUAACACAUGCAAGUCGAACGAAGUGGCGAACGGGUGAGUAACGCGUAAUCAACCUGCCCUUCAGAGGGGGAUAACAGUUGGAAACGACUGCUAAUACCGCAUACUGAAGGAGGGGAUUGCGUCGGUUUAGCUAGUUGGCGGGGUAACGGCCCACCAAGGCGAUGAACAGUAGCCGGUCUGAGGGGAGUAACGGCCAGCUUGGGACUGGGACACGGCCCAAGCUCCUACGGGAUGCAACAGUGGGGAAUCUUCCGGAAUGGACGCAAGUCUGACGGAGCAACGCCGCGUGAGUGAUGACGGCCUUCUGGUUGUAAAGCUCUGUUAAUCGGGACGCGGUACCGGAAUAGAAAGCCACGGCUAACUACGUGCCAGCAGCCGCGGUAAUUC